rnacentral:rRNA from 1 species
GAUGAACGCUGGCGGUGUGCUUAACACAUGCAAGUCGAACGGCAAGGCCCUGCUUUUGUGCGGUGACCGGGUGGCGAACGGGUGAGUAACACGAGUGUAACCUGCCCUUGUCUUUGGUAUAACUUAAGGUAACUGGGGCUACUAUCGGAUAGGAGCUCCUGCUGCAUUGUGGGGGUUGGAAAGUUGCGGCGGUUGGGGAUGGACUGGCGGCUUAUCAGCUUGUUGGUGGGGUAGUGGCUUACCAAGUCUUUGACGGGUAGCCGGCCUGGGAGGUUGGCCGGCCACAUGAGGCCUGAGAUACGGCCCAGACUCCAACGGUAGGCAGCGGUGGGGAAUAUUACACAAUGAGCGGGAGCCUGUUACAGCGGCGCCGGGUGCGGAAAGACGUCCUUCUGGUUGUGAACCGCAUUCGCCUGUGACGAAGCGUUAGUGACGGUAAUGGGUAAAGAAGCACCGGCUAACUACGUG